AUUGAACGCUGGCGGCAGGCCUAACACAUGCAGGUCGAGCGGUAACAGGAAGAAGCUUGCUUCUUUGCUGACGAGUGGCGGACGGGUGAGUAAUGUCUGGGAAACUGCCUGAUGGAGGGGGAUAACUACUGGAAACGGUAGCUAAUACCGCAUAACGUCGCAAGACCAAAGAGGGGGACCUUCGGGCCUCUUGCCAUCGGAUGUGCCCAGAUGGGAUUAGCUAGUAGGUGGGGUAACGGCUCACCUAGGCGACGAUCCCUAGCUGGUCUGAGAGGAUGACCAGCCACACUGGAACUGAGACACGGUCCAGACUCCUACGGGAGGCAGCAGUGGGGAAUAUUGCACAAUGGGCGCAAGCCUGAUGCAGCCAUGCCGCGUGUAUGAAGAAGGCCUUCGGGUUGUAAAGUACUUUCAGCGGGGAGGAAGGGAGUAAAGUUAAUACCUUUGCUCAUUGACGUUACCCGCAGAAGAAGCACCGGCUAACUCCGUG
rnacentral:rRNA from 1 species